UACGUAGGGGGCUAGCGUUGUCCGGAAUCAUUGGGCGUAAAGCGCGUGUAGGCGGUCCGGUAAGUCCGCUGUGAAAGUCGAGGGCUCAACCCUCGAAUGCCGGUGGAUACUGUCGGGCUAGAGUACGGAAGAGGCGAGUGGAAUUCCUGGUGUAGCGGUGAAAUGCGCAGAUAUCAGGAGGAACACCAAUUGCGAAGGCAGCUCGCUGGGACGUGACUGACGCUGAGACGCGAAAGCGUGGGGAGCAAACAGG
rnacentral:rRNA from 1 species